rnacentral:rRNA from 1 species
GGAGGAAAAGAAACCAACAGGGAUUCCCUUAGUAGCGGCGAGCGAAACGGGAUGAGCCCAGCGCUGAAUCCCACCCCUCCAAAGGGGGUCGGGAAAUGUAGCGUACAGGAGUUCGGUGGUACCGGCAGCGCAUUGCACGCGCAGCAAGUCCCCCUGACCGGGGCUGUUACCCAGAGCGGGUGCGAGGCCCAUAGCUGCGCAGUUGGUGCCGGAUACUGAACUCCUCGGAGUCGGGUUGCUUGAGAGUGCAACCCUAAGCGGGUGGUAAACUCCACCUAAGGCUAAAUACGACCGUGAGACCGAUAGCAAACAAGUACCGUGAGGGAAAGUUGCAAAGAACUUUGAAGAGAGAGUUCAAGAGUACGUGAAACUGUUCAGAGGUAAACAGGUGGGCCCUCGAAGCCCUUGUGGCGGGAGGAUUCAGUUGGGCGGCUUGGUCACUCGGCUGACGGUAUGGCGAGCCUCUGUGAUUGCUGCCUUCGCGAAAGUCGAGUGCUGCCGAGUUGCCCGACGCAUUUCCAUUCCCGUCCGAACGGACGCCGCAACCGGUUGGAGAACGGCCUUAAGGGCGGUUAACGGCAGGUCGCCAGCGGAGGGCGCGUCAGCAAUGACGUCGUCAGCCGCGGGAUGCUAGCCCUUCCGUCGCAUGGCACGUGAUCCGACCGUGGUCUUAAAAAAAAGUGGUCCUUUGACAAAGGGGACCCGAAUCCGCCUCCUCCUGAACCCUCCCCGAAAGGGAAGGAAAACAGGUGUUACGGAAGCAAAUCGACGUGCAUCGGUGUCGGCGCCUUGUGGCCACACGGAUCCAGUCCGUGGGCGUGCUGGUUGUCGGCCCGUGUCAGCCGUCGCGAGUCCGUUGGAGUGUGCUUGGCGGUUGGCGGCGAGUAGAUCGGUCACCCACCUGACCCGUCUUGAAACACGGACCAAGGAGUCUAACAUGUAUGCGAGUCAAUGGGACUCGAAAAAGCCCAAAGGCGCAAUGAAAGCAAAGGUUCGGUUGACACCCGAGACCGUGUUGGGAUCCCCGGUCCUUAUGCGACCGGGGCGCACCAACGACCCGCACUAUACUUUCAUAGUUUGAGCGGAGUCGGAGCAUACACGUUGGGACCCGAAAGAUGGUGAACUAUGCCCGGGCAGGACGAGGCCAGAGGAAACUCUGGUGGAGGUCCGCAGCGGUUCUGACGUGCAAAUCGAUCGUCAGAUCCGGGUCUAGGGGCGAAAGACCAAUCGAACCAUCUAGUAGCUGGUUCCCUCCGAAGUUUCCCUCAGGAUAGCUGGCGCUCGUUUGAAUUCAGUCUCAUCCGGUAAAGCGAAUGACUAGAGGCCUUGGGGUCGAAACGACCUCAACCUAUUCUCAAACUUUAAAUGGGUGAGAAGUUCGCCUUUCUUGACCAUAAGAUUGAAGGCCGGACGCAAUGAGAAAAAGGAUGAGAGUGCCCAGUGGGCCACUUUUGGUAAGCAGAACUGGCGCUGUGGGAUGAACCAAACGACGGGUUAAGGUGUCCGAUGCGAGACGCUCAUGAGAUCCCAUAAAAGGUGUUGGUUGCUCUAGACAGCCGGACGAUGGCCAUGGAAGUCGGAACUCGCUAAGGAGUGUGUAACAACUCACCGGCCGAAGCAACUAGCCCUGAAAAUGGAUGACGCUCCAGCGUUGAACCUAUACCCGUCCGCUUCGAGCAGAACUCCUACGUUUAUAGCAAAAAAAAGGAGGAUGAAGCCGAAGUGAGUAGGAGGGCCGCGACGGCGUGCGUUGAAGGUGCCGGGCGUGGGCCCGCCUGGAGCCGCCGUCGGUGCAGAUCUUGGUGGUAGUAGCAAAUACUCAAGUGAGAACCUUGAGGACUGAAGUCGGAGAAGGGUUCCAUGUGAACAGCAGUUGAACAUGGGUCAGUCGGUCCUAAGGAAUCGGAGAAAUCCGUUCCGAAGCGGGACAUUGACAAUGAUUUAAAAAACCGUAAUGACCAAGCGGAAAAUCUUGCAGAGUUUGUCCCGCUGCCGACCGAAAGGGAAUGGGGUUAAUAUUCCCCAACCCGGACACGGAGAUAGAGCCCUCGGGCUCAAGUGCGGUAACGCAACCGAACUCGGAGACGUCGGCGGAGGACCCGGGGAAGAGUUAUCUUUUCUUUGUAAGAGUUCGUGUCCCUGGAAUCGGCUCGUCCGGAGAUAGGGACGCUGUUCUCGUAAAAGCACCGCGGCUCUUGCGGUGUCCGGUGCGCCUCUGUCGGCCCUUGCAAAUCCGAGGGAGAGAGUGUAAUUUUCGUGCCGGUCCGUACCCAUAUCCGCAGC